CCUACGGGAGGCAGCAGUAGGGAAUAUUGCUCAAUGGGGGAAACCCUGAAGCAGCAACGCCGCGUGGAGGAUGAAGGUUUUCGGAUCGUAAACUCCUUUUGUUAGAGAAGAUAAUGGCGGAAUCUAACGAAUAAGCACCGGCUAAAUCCGUGCCAGGAGCCGCGGGAAUACGGAGGGUGAACGCGUUAGGCGGAAUGACUGGGCGGAAAGAGCGCGGAGGCGGGAUAGCAAAUCAGAUGUUAAAUCCUAUGGCUUAACCAUAUAACUGCAUUUGAAACUGGUAUUCUAGAGUAUGGGAGAGGUAGGUGGAACUCUAGGUGUAGGGGUAAAAUCCGUAGAGAUCAAGAGGAAUACUCAUUGCGAAGGCGACCUGCUAGAACAUAACUGACGCUGAUGCGCGAAAGCGUGGGGAGCAAACAGGAUUAGAUACCCGAGUAGUC
rnacentral:rRNA from 1 species